rnacentral:rRNA from 1 species
GUCCACGCCGUAAACGAUGGGCACUAGGUGCUUAGGGGAGCGACCCUCUGAGUACCGGCGCUAACGCAUGAAGUGCCCCGCCUGGGGAGUACGGCCGCAAGGCUGAAACUCAAAGGAAUUGACGGGGGCCCCGCACAAGCGGUGGAGCAUGUGGUUUAAUUCGACGCAACGCGCAGAACCUUACCUAGGCUUGACAUGCACGGGAAAGCUGGUGGAAACAUCGGCCCCUCUUCGGAGCCCGUGCACAGGUGCUGCAUGGCUGUCGU